AAAAAAAGUGGGAUUUUUGCAAAAAUUCUGCAAAAAAAAAAAAAAGAGGACUUUUGCAAAAAAAAAAAAGUAUGUAUAUAUAUAUACAUAUAUAUAUAUCACAGAGAAAAGGAAGGAGUUUUGCAGAAGUUGCCACAGAAAUGAGGAUCUUUGCACGAACUCAACUAAAAGAAAGUGGGAUUUUUUUUUUGCAAAAAGAUGCGUCCAAAAAGGGGGAUUUUUGCAGAAGAUGCAGAAAAAAAAAAAAAAGAAAAGAAAAGAAAAGAAAAGAAAAGAAAAGAAAAGAAAAGAAAAGAAAAGAAAAGAAAAGAAAAGAAAAGAAAAGAAAAGAAAAGAAAAGAAAAGAAAAGAAAAGAAAAGAAAAGAAAAGAAAAGAAAAGAAAAGAAGAAAGAAAAAGGAAAGAAAAAGAAAAGAAAAAAGAAAAGAGAACUUUUGCAUGAAUUCCAGGUGAAAGAAAGUGGGAUUUUUGCAAAAAGAUGCGUCCAAAAAGGGGGAUUUUUGCAGACGAUGCAGCAGAAAAUAAAAUAAAAGAAGAGAAGAGAAGAGAAGAGAAGA
ensembl:lncRNA